rnacentral:rRNA from 1 species
UGGGGAAUAUUGCGCAAUGGGGGAAACCCUGAUGCAGCGACGCCGCGUGAAGGAAGAAGGCCUUCGGGUUGUAAACUUCUUUUACCAGGGACGAAGGACGUGACGGUACCUGGAGAAAAAGCAACGGCUAACUACGUGCCAGCAGCCGCGGUAAUACGUAGGUUGCAAGCGUUGUCCGGAUUUACUGGGUGUAAAGGGCGUGUAGGCGGAGGCGCAAGUUGGGAGUGAAAAUCUAUGGGCUCAACCCAUAAAACUGCUCUCAAAAAACUGUGCCCCUUGAGUAUCGGAGAGGCAAGCGGAAUUCCUAGUGUAGCGGUGAAAAUGCGUAGAUAUUAGGAGGAACACCAGUGGCGAAAGGCGGCUUGCUGGACGACAAACUGACGCUGAGGCGCGAAAAGCGUGGGGAGCAAAACAGGAUUAGAUACC